GUGACAUACAAAUAUGGAUGGAUUUGAUAUUGCUAAAACAAAAGUGUAUAUUCUGUGUUAGCAAUUUAGGCAGCUGGGGGCAGAAAGGCAGGUUUUGGACUACUUGCAAACAGUUUAACACAUAACAGCAGGACAGAGCCAUGUGGGAUCAUAACCAUUACAGUGGGCUUUAGUGGUUAUAGUGCUUGGACUGCCCUAUUAAAUACAUUAGACCUACCCUAUAUUUUUUAUUAUGCUGAACAUUAUCUGUACAAAAAGCACAGUGAUUUGACAUAGUUCCCUGUAUCAUGCUUUUUGUGUUGCCUUAUGUUGUUCUGUCGUAGUUAUACAGUGGAAUAUUAUCGUAGGCGUAAGAUUCUGAGUUCUGCUGUAGUUCCUUGGCAGUGCGCCGAGCCUCCCUGGCAAUCCUCUGGAAUCGGCGGAGUGAAAGAAUAACAAAAAUAAGUAGGAUUCCUUGAACAGCAAUAAAGAUAAAAAGGCACAGUUG